rnacentral:rRNA from 1 species
GGAUGCAAGUGUUAUCCGGAAUCACUGGGCGUAAAGAGUCUGAAGGUGGUCAAAUAAGUCCACUGUUAAAUCUUGAGGCUUAACCUCAAAAUCGCAGUCGAAACUAUUAGACUAGAGUAUAGUAGGGGUAAAGGGAAUUUCCAGUGGAGCGGUGAAAUGCGUAGAGAUUGGAAAGAACACCGAUGGCGAAGGCACUUUACUGGGCUAUUACUAACACUCAGAGACGAAAGCUAGGGUAGCAAAUGGG